rnacentral:misc_RNA from 1 species
AAGUCGUAACAAGGUCUCCGUAGGUGAACCUGCGGAGGGAUCAUUACUGAGUGAGGGCUUCCGGCCCGACCUCCAACCCCAUGUGAACCGAAACCUGUUGCUUCGGGGGCGACCCUGCCUUCGUGCGAGGCGCCCCCGGAGGCUCAUCAAACCCUGCAUCUGUGCGUCGGAGUCUUAAAUGAAUUUAAACAAAA